UAAACCCCUUUACAAGUAUCAAUUGGAGGGCAAGUCUGGUGCCAGCAGCCGCGGUAAUUCCAGCUCCAAUAGCGUAUAUUAAAGUUGUUGCAGUUAAAAAGCUCGUAGUUGGAUUUCUGUUAAUAAUUUAUAUAUAAUAUUUGAUUAAUAUUUAUAUAAUAUUAACAUAAUUCAUAUUACUAAAUUUAUUAGUAUAUGAAAUUUUACUUUGA
rnacentral:rRNA from 1 species